ACAAGUACCGUGAGGGAAAGUUGCAAAGCACUUUGAAAAGAGAGUGAAAGAGAACGUGAAACCGUUAUAGUGGAAGCGGAUGGAGCCGACGUAUCAGUGCGUAUUCAGCCUUGAGUCGGCCCGAUUUGUUGGCAGCGAUUCUGCAAAGUUCGUUGUCGGCAAUUGUCGUGUCGCUUCUUGGUGCACUUGCGUACAUAAUGCGCCGAAUCGGUCGAGUGCGUUGUUUGAAGCCGUCGAAGAGGACUCGAAUUCGUUUGAGAAACCUUCGGCGGUGGAUGGCAAAUGUGCUCGGCUGUUUAAAGAACUGGUUUUUCGAGCCAAUGUGAUGAGGCUUGGCUUGAUUAGGUACGGCACAUGUGUUUUGCUUUUUCAAGUUAUGUCUUGUCAUAUUGACUCUCUGUUCUGAUUCGGUGUCCAGUCGGUCACCCAUUUGACCCGUCUUGAAACACUGACCAAGGAGUUUAAGGUGUACGCAAGUCAUCGGAUGGUAAAUUCAAAGGCGUAAUGAAAGUGGGACAUUUAGUGUCUGUAAUGCGACCGAUGCGAGUUUCGAUUUGUGUUGGGCAGCAUUGACCCAUGACUAGAAUUAAUUCUGUUGUGGAGUCCGAGCGUACGCUUUGAGACCCGAAAGAUGGUGAACUAUGCCUGAACAGGACGAAGUCGAGUGAAAACUCGAUGGAAGUCCGAAGCGGUUCUGACGUGCAAAUCGAUCGUCUGAUUUGGGUAUAGGGGCGCAAGACUAAUCGAACCAUCUAGUAGCUGGUUCCUUCCGA
rnacentral:rRNA from 1 species